rnacentral:rRNA from 1 species
GACGAACGCUGGCGGCGUGCUUAAUACAUGCAAGUCGAACGGAAAGGCCCUGGUUUGGUGGGGUGCUCGAGUGGCGAACGGGUGAGUAACACGUGAGUAACCUGCCCUUGACUAUGGGAUAACUUCAGGAAACUGGGGCUAAUACCGGAUAGGAUCUUCUGCUGCAUGGUGGUGGUUGGAAAGUUUGGGCGGUUGUGGAUGGGUUCGCGGCUUAGCAUAUUGUUGAUGGUGUAGUGGCUGACCAGGCCGUUGACGGGUAGCAGGCGUGAGAGGGUGACCGGCCACAUUGGCAGUGAGAUACGGGACGGAGCACUACGGAAGGCAGCAGUGGGGAAUCUUGCACGAUGGGGGGAAGCCGGGUGAAGCAACGCCGCGUGCGGGAUGAAGAGCUUUGGGGUAAGAGAAGAUUUCGACUGAGACGAAGCGUGAGUGACGGUAACGGAUCAAAAAGCAACGGCUAACUACGUG